CAUUUUUGACAUUGAAAAACUUUGAAGGUUUGGAUCUUGGAAAAAUGGAUAAGGCUGAUGACUCUGGACUGGCAUCAUAUGUUGCUGGACAAGUUGACAGGACUCUUAGCUGGAAGGAUGUGAAGUGGCUUCAGACAAUCACGAGCCUUCCAAUUCUUGUGAAGGGUGUUAUUACCGCUGAAGACAGUAAACAACUUACAGUCCAACCCUCUAUAUUUCGUUCAUCUAUGUUCCCGUUCCAAUUUCGUUAUAAUUUCGAAUAGUCUCACUAUAUAGUUC